rnacentral:rRNA from 1 species
UACGUAGGGUGCAAGCGUUGUCCGGAAUUAUUGGGCGUAAAGAGCUCGUAGGCGGUUUGUCGCGUCUGCUGUGAAAACUCGGGGCUUAACUCCGGGCCUGCAGUGGGUACGGGCAGACUAGAGUGCGGUAGGGGGAGACUGGAAUUCCUGGUGUAGCGGUGAAAUGCGCAGAUAUCAGGAGGAACACCGAUGGCGAAGGCAGGUCUCUGGGCCGAUACUGACGCUGAGGAGCGAAAGCGUGGGGAGCGAACAGG